CCUUUAUAUCUCAUAAGUUGCUGCGUCUUUAACCAUUUCCUGAUCUCACCCUCCACCCCAUCCCGUGCCUUCCUCUUUUAAAAUCUCUGUGUGUAUGUGUCCCUGUGUGCUUGUGUGUGCCCAUGUAUGUGUCCAUGCCUGUGUGCAUGCCUGGAUACUGUGAAUGUAGCUGCAGACAGAUCAGGGCACUUGUGAGCUCAGAGGUUAAUCGUGGUGCAGGGCUUCAUCUUCCAUCUUGUUUCUCACUGCUUAUGCCAGGCUAGCUAGCUUUCGGGGACUCUUCUGUCUCUGUCCUCACAUGUCCUGGUAGGAGUGCUCGAAUUAUAGACAUGCUGCCCAGCUUCUGUCUUGCUUUUUCACCUGCCAUGACACUCGAAUAAUUGCUAUUACUUAGCUGGUUACCCGCUUCGAGUCAAUCACCCUGAGAUGUUGGUCUUCAUCCCCAACUUGACUAGAUUUAGAAUCACGUAGGAGGUACACAUCUAAGCACAUCUGUGGUGUUUUCAGAUAAAUUCAACUGUGUAAGGAAGAUCCAGUUACAUGUGGGCAACGGCAGCCAAUGGGCUGGGGCCUGAGAAUCAGCAUUCAUCCGUUUCUUGACUGUGUGACAGCCUGAAUCCAACCUCAGUGUGCCUCUGUCAGGCCUGACUCUCACCCAUCUCUUCCUGCUCACAGCCUGCCCCCCUUCAGUACUGCAUGGGCUUUGGGGGUCCAUCUCCCCACUGUCGCUCCAGUCCACCCACCCAGUAUCACUGCCUCUCCCAGGUGACUCUAAGCUGCUCCAAACACCUCAGGUCUGUUCUUGUCUGCGUCACCCCCCAACCCCCAGUGUGUCCAGCAGAGUUCCCCUCCGCUUGGCCAGCUUCAUAAACAUUUGCUGAGUUGAGCUAGCUCCCACCUGGCCUGCUGCCAGGCUGAGAGUUGGAGAAAUUAAACAGCUUGCACCAGGUGGGAAACUAUGCUCACAGCCCCCAACACAUAAUGCGACCUUUCUUUCCAUUCCUUCAAGAUUAACAGGAUAGCUGGAAGUCCCGCUGGCCAUCGGACACUCGUUCAUUAGGUGCUAACUAUGUGUCAGGCACUGGGUACUGGGAUGCGAUGGUGAACAAGACAGCCACAGACCAGCUCUCCUUGGAAACUGAGCUCAGAGGUGGAAACCAACCUAAAUAAACGCAACGGCCGUCCACAUCUCUGAUGAGGAUCAGACAAUAAACAUUGAGUAUUUCCCAUGAUUCUGUAGGUUGAGUAGGCAAUGUUUUAGGCCAGGGCUAUCUUUCUGUGGGUCUUGGUGGUCCAAGAUAGCCUACUCCCAUGCCUGUGGCUCUAGCUGUGAUGGUUGGACUAGCUGACUCUCCUAGUUCUGCCACUAGUUCUGUAUGAAGCCAACCUGUACUUAUAUAGUGGCAAAGUGUUCAAAGACCCACUUGCAUGAUAUUGCUGAAUGCCCUGCUGACCAGAGAAAAAUCAUGAAACUUGAUCCAAAGGAUGGAGAAACUGAUUCCAGUUUUUAAUGAACAUGAUAGAAAACAUUGGCUAUUUUAAACUUUUUUUUUGUAAUCUACCACAGUAGAUAAUAACAAAGCUCAAUUCUGUGAGUUACUGUGAAGUUUGUAUGAGAUGGUAUAGCUCUCAGCACGGUCCUGGCACAUAGUAGGCUUUAUAUGAAUGGAAUUCCCUUUCUUCUGCUGCUUUUAGAUUAAGAGCCCAUCUUUAAUGAAAGACACAAUGGAUCUGUUGACUCUUAAUUCCAUUCUCUUUCAGAGCACAUGGAAAUUGAAGCCAUGUGGGACUUAACAAGAGAUCAAAUGGUAUCUUAAACAUCCCAGGGCAGCUGCCCUGUCCCCAGAGCCUGGGGCGGCCUCUGUGAAGGGGCCCCUCUUUCCUGGUGUUCUGGGUCCCUCUCCUCCCAGCUCCACUGCAGGGAGGUUUCCUUCAGAGGACAAUUGCCCUGGGGACAUCUCUUGAUCAGGAUCUGACUUUGC
rnacentral:lncRNA from 1 species